CGAUAUCAAUGAACACAAAUCUCUUGGCAAGAUGCUUCACAACAUCAAAUUCACAUGUACGAUGACUCAUGUUUUCUUAUGUGUUUCUAGAGCCCGCAUCAUUGUUUCAUAGCAUCUGUAGAGACAUUCUCAAGCCUUGCCUUAGUGUAGGGUUGACUUUCUUUACACUUUAACCAUCUUGAAUCAAUCAAAGACUGCAUUUGAACUUGAACACCCAACACUUUUGAUGGAAUGAUCGAUAGCCUCUUUGUGGUAACCACCUUUU
rnacentral:lncRNA from 1 species